rnacentral:lncRNA from 1 species
CGCGGACGUAGAGCCUGGUGCCCAUGAAGAAGAGGACGCAGGCGAGGAGCAUGAGCGCGGUGGGGAUGCCGAGGCCGAUGGGCCAGCUGACGUUGCUCUGGACGUAGAUGAUGACGGUGGCGGAGACGAGCAUGGCGGAGGUGAAGGUGAAGUAGUACCAGUUGAAGAAGCUGUUGAUGCCGCGCUUGCCGGACUCCGUGUGGGGGUCGAACUGGUCGGCGCCGAACGGCAUGCUGCACGGCCGGAUCCCCGCCGACCCC